AAUCCAUGGUAAGGAAACCUUCGCAGUAGGUCCUUGUAUCUCUCCCAUGCAUCGUAAAGAGUUUCUAAAUCCAUCUAUAGAAAUGAAGAGAUAUCAUUACGUAAUU
rnacentral:snoRNA from 1 species